GGGGUAGUAGCUCAGUUUGGUUAGAGUGACGGCCUGUCACGCCGUAGGUCGCGGGUUCGAGCCCCGUCUACCCCGCCA
rnacentral:tRNA from 1 species